GUCCAAGUGGCCUAAUGGAUAAGGCGUCUGACUUCGGAUCAGAUGAUUGCAGGUUCGAGUUCUGUCGUGGACG
rnacentral:tRNA from 1 species